CAGCCGUACCCCCCUCCUACCCUCUCCAUCGUUGUCUUCUCUCAGCCCCCCUUCUUCUCUCUCGUCUUUGGCCUUGCGUCCCCCGGAUCCACUCAACUCUCCCCUUCUUCUCUCUUGGCAACGGUGGUCUUCCUUCCGACGGCGCCGACAACAGAGUGGUGGUGGUGCGCGGCAUUGUUGGUGGUGCAACGGGGCUUGCCAACCCUCAACAACAAUUGAGAGACUGGCAGAGGCGUCUCUGCCAAGAAUUCCGCAACAUGGAACGCUAGAUUAGAGCUAGAGCUUCUUAAAUUGUGGUUCUCCCAUAUGCGGGAGGUGAAGCCUGGUAUAUAUGUUACGUAUAAUGGUGAUUUUUUUGACUGGCCUUUCCUGGAAAAAAGAGCAGCCCAUCAUGGAUUCAAACUUAGUGAUGAGGUUGGAUUUCAAUGUGACUAUAAUCAAGGAGAAUGUCGUGCUAAAUUUGCUUGCCAUCUUGAUUGCUUUGCUUGGGUCAAGCGUGAUAGUUAUCUCCCUCAGGGAAGCCA